UACCAGCUCUUCGAGUGGUGUGGAUGUUUAUUGGGCCUAAAGCAUCCGUAGCUGGCUGGGCAAGUCCCCUGUUAAAUCCACCGAUUUAAUCAUUGGAGUGCGGGGGAUACUGUUCGGCUAGGGGACGGGAGAGGCAGACGGUAUUUUCGGGGUAGGGGUGAAAUCCUAUAAUCCCGGGAAGACCACCAGUGGCGAAGGCUGUCUGCUAGAACGCGCCCGACGGUGAGGGAUGAAAGCUGGGGGAGCGAACCGGAUUAGAUACCCGGGUAGUCCCAGCUGUAAACGAUGCAGGCUAGGUGUUUGGGCGGCCACGUGCCGCUCUAGUGCCGCAGGGAAGCCGUUAGGCCUGCCGCCUGGGGAGUACGGCCGCAAGGCUGAAACUUAAGGAAUUGGCGGGGGAGCACCACAAGGGGUGAAGCUUGCGGUUU
rnacentral:rRNA from 1 species